UCUUUUAGAUGACGAAGUGGUUGAUGCCAUGCUUCCAAGAAAAGCUUCUAAGCUUCAGGUAACCAGGAACCGUACCCCAAACCGACACAGGUGGUUGGGUAGAGAAUACCAAGGCGCUUGAGAGAACUCGGGUGAAGGAACUAGGCAAAAUGGCACCGUAACUUCGGGAGAAGGUGCGCCGGUGAGGGUGAAGGACUUGCUCCGUAAGCCCAUGCCGGUCGAAGAUACCAGGCCGCUGCGACUGUUUAUUAAAAACACAGCACUCUGCAAACACGAAAGUGGACGUAUAGGGUGUGACGCCUGCCCGGUGCCGGAAGGUUAAUUGAUGGGGUUAGCUAACGCGAAGCUCUUGAUCGAAGCCCCGGUAAACGGCGGCCGUAACUAUAACGGUCCUAAGGUAGCGAAAUUCCUUGUCGGGUAAGUUCCGACCUGCACGAAUGGCGUAACGAUGGCGGCGCUGUCUCCACCCGAGACUCAGUGAAAUUGAAAUCGCUGUGAAGAUGCAGUGUAUCCGCGGCUAGACGGAAAGACCCCGUGAACCUUUACUAUAGCUUUGCACUGGACUUUGAAUUUGCUUGUGUAGGAUAGGUGGGAGGCUUUGAAGCGUGGACGCCAGUUCGCGUGGAGCCAACCUUGAAAUACCACCCUGGCAACUUUGAGGUUCUAACUCAGGUCCGUUAUCCGGAUCGAGGACAGUGUAUGGUGGGUAGUUUGACUGGGGCGGUCUCCUCCUAAAGAGUAACGGAGGAGUACGAAGGUGCGCUCAGACCGGUCGGAAAUCGGUCGUAGAGUAUAAAGGCAAAAGCGCGCUUGACUGCGAGACAGACACGUCGAGCAGGUACGAAAGUAGGUCUUAGUGAUCCGGUGGUUCUGUAUGGAAGGGCCAUCGCUCAACGGAUAAAAGGUACUCCGGGGAUAACAGGCUGAUACCGCCCAAGAGUUCAUAUCGACGGCGGUGUUUGGCACCUCGAUGUCGGCUCAUCACAUCCUGGGGCUGAAGCCGGUCCCAAGGGUAUGGCUGUUCGCCAUUUAAAGUGGUACGCGAGCUGGGUUUAGAACGUCGUGAGACAGUUCGGUCCCUAUCUGCCGUGGACGUUUGAGAUUUGAGAGGGGCUGCUCCUAGUACGAGAGGACCGGAGUGGACGAACCUCUGGUGUUCCGGUUGUCACGCCAGUGGCAUUGCCGGGUAGCUAUGUUCGGAAUAGAUAACCGCUGAAAGCAUCUAAGCGGGAAACUAGCCUCAAGAUGAGAUCUCACUGGGACCUUGAGUCCCCUGAAGGGCCGUCGAAGACUACGACGUUGAUAGGUUGGGUGUGUAAGCGCUGUGAGGCGUUGAGCUAACCAAUACUAAUUGCCCGUGAGGCUUGACCAU
rnacentral:rRNA from 1 species